GGGCAUAUAUUUUAUUUAAUAUAUUUUUUAUACGUCGUGACACGCCAUCUAACUACUAUUUCCUCCGUCUAGAUUUACAAGGGUCUAUAGAGCGACCGGUAUAUAUUGACCUGACACAUGACGAGGAGGCUGGCUCCAGCAGCGCAUCGAUAGAUCUUACCGCGUCUGAAGAGGAGGUUGGCUCCAGCAGAGCGGUUCUGGACCCCUCAUUAUUAAUCGGAGUUGUGAUCUUACCGCGGGUGGUGACGCAGGCAGCGUAGUGCAAGAGCCGUCAUUAUUCAUCGAAAGGAGUUGUGGAUCCGGUGACGAUCUAACUGGACAGAUACACAGCUGAACGUUUGGGAGCGUUCGUCUUGGUCCAGCGAGCGAGAGGAGAGGUCUCCGAUAAGGCGUCAGCAGACACCGUUAGCCGAACAAGAAGACACCGACGACGAACGAUCAUCAUCGGCGAGGGGUAUACAGACACCGUUUGCUCUUCAAGAUCAAAAUACUGUCUCGCUAGAUCAACUCAACGCUAUCUUAAGAGAGUCUAAUAUUCCUUUACACGAGUCCAUUGACAGACUGUGGGGUUCUGUCGGCGAGAUACAUACGAUUCUUAUGAGAUUGUAUGCUUUUAUCGAAGGUGUUAAUCAUCGCGACUAAGCGCUGGAGAAUUCUUUCAACCGUUUGCUCGAGUCAUCAAACGAACAGAUGCGAGAAAGGCGUCUAAUGGUUGAACUCCUCUGUGCUAUAAAAGCCGUACUAUUUUCUAGAUAAUCACUAUUUUUAUAUUGACCAAUGAUCGCUAUAAGUUUUUUACAUUUAUCUCUAUAUCUUAUAAUCGAUUUUUACAUUUACAAUUUUAUCUCUAUAUCUUAUAAUUUAUAUUUUACAUUUACAAUUUUAUCUCUAUAUCUUACAAUCAAUAUUUUUAUAUUACCAUUUAUAUCUAUAUCUGUUUUAUAUCUAUUCACCAUUUAUUUUUGUAUUUGCUUUGCAACGUGACAUAAUUCCUCUUUGUUAGUGACGAAACCAUACGGGAGGGAUGGCAGAUGAAAAAAGUUCAGAGGCCGGGGAUAGCUGUCAUCCAGAUCAAACUCUCUCAGACCUGUUACAGGAUGCGAUCGGAAUGCAUGCAGAGACCCAUCAUCAUAACGCCGAUAGACUACGACUACUGUUAAAUACACACCCUGUACAUGAGCAAACUUUUAAUACCGCACCGCCCCAACAGUUUUCUAAUUUGGAAUAUUUGGAAGCUGCGAUACGUGAAAGUACAGAUUUUAAUCCAUGCAUCAGACUAUGCGAAAUAUUAAAUACGAGGGUCACAAACACCGAACAAGACGGCAGUGGGUUAUCAGAUACAAUCGUCCCGACUACUGACUCUGC